UACGUAGGGGACCGAGCGUUUGUCCGGAAUCAUUUGGGCGUAAAGAGCGUGUAGGCGGCCAGGUAGGUCGGUUGUGAAAACUGGAGGCUCAACCUUCAGAGGUCGACCGAAACCAUCUGGCUAGAGUCCGGGAGAGGAGAGUGGGAAUUCCUGGUGUAGCGGUGAAAUGCGCAGAUAUCAGGAAGAACACCCCGUGGCGAAAGCGGCUCUCUGGAACGGUACUGACGCUGAGACGCGAAAAGCGUGGGGGGAGCGAACAGGG
rnacentral:rRNA from 1 species